rnacentral:rRNA from 1 species
CGACGGUUGUCCCGGUUUAAGCGUGUAGGCUGGUUUUCCAGGCAAAUCCGGAAAAUCAAGGCUGAGGCGUGAUGACGAGGCACUACGGUGCUGAAGCAACAAAUGCCCUGCUUCCAGGAAAAGCCUCUAAGCAUCAGGUAACAUCAAAUCGUACCCCAAACCGACACAGGUGGUCAGGUAGAGAAUACCAAGGCGCUUGAGAGAACUCGGGUGAAGGAACUAGGCAAAAUGGUGCCGUAACUUCGGGAGAAGGCACGCUGAUAUGUAGGUGAAGUCCCUCGCGGAUGGAGCUGAAAUCAGUCGAAGAUACCAGCUGGCUGCAACUGUUUAUUAAAAACACAGCACUGUGCAAACACGAAAGUGGACGUAUACGGUGUGACGCCUGCCCGGUGCCGGAAGGUUAAUUGAUGGGGUCAGCGCAAGCGAAGCUCUUGAUCGAAGCCCCGGUAAACGGCGGCCGUAACUAUAACGGUCCUAAGGUAGCGAAAUUCCUUGUCGGGUAAGUUCCGACCUGCACGAAUGGCGUAAUGAUGGCCAGGCUGUCUCCACCCGAGACUCAGUGAAAUUGAACUCGCUGUGAAGAUGCAGUGUACCCGCGGCAAGACGGAAAGACCCCGUGAACCUUUACUAUAGCUUGACACUGAACAUUGAGCCUUGAUGUGUAGGAUAGGUGGGAGGCUUUGAAGUGUGGACGCCAGUCUGCAUGGAGCCGACCUUGAAAUACCACCCUUUAAUGUUUGAUGUUCUAACGUGGACCCGUGAUCCGGGUUGCGGACAGUGUCUGGUGGGUAGUUUGACUGGGGCGGUCUCCUCCUAAAGAGUAACGGAGGAGCACGAAGGUUGGCUAAUCCUGGUCGGACAUCAGGAGGUUAGUGCAAUGGCAUAAGCCAGCUUGACUGCGAGCGUGACGGCGCGAGCAGGUGCGAAAGCAGGUCAUAGUGAUCCGGUGGUUCUGAAUGGAAGGGCCAUCGCUCAACGGAUAAAAGGUACUCCGGGGAUAACAGGCUGAUACCGCCCAAGAGUUCAUAUCGACGGCGGUGUUUGGCACCUCGAUGUCGGCUCAUCACAUCCUGGGGCUGAAGUAGGUCCCAAGGGUAUGGCUGUUCGCCAUUUAAAGUGGUACGCGAGCUGGGUUUAGAACGUCGUGAGACAGUUCGGUCCCUAUCUGCCGUGGGCGCUGGAGAACUGAGGGGGGCUGCUCCUAGUACGAGAGGACCGGAGUGGACGCAUCACUGGUGUUCGGGUUGUCAUGCCAAUGGCACUGCCCGGUAGCUAAAUGCGGAAGAGAUAAGUGCUGAAAGCAUCUAAGCACGAAACUUGCCCCGAGAUGAGUUCUCCCUGACCCUUUAAGGGUCCUGAAGGAACGUUGAAGACGACGACGUUGAUAGGCCGGGUGUGUAAGCGCAGCGAUGCGUUGAGCUAACCGGUACUAAUGAACCGUGAGGCUUAACCUUACAACGCCGAAGGUGUUU